rnacentral:lncRNA from 1 species
UUUGUUGCAGAUCUUGAGAUAUCUUGAAAACCCUAACAGUCGCUUCAAACCCUUGUCUUUAAACAUCUGCGUGCAAUUUUCUUCAUAUCUCACAAAAUAUAAGCUCAAAUGCCACGAAAUUUGUAUGUAUAGCUUCUUAACACAAAAAUUCACAUUCUCCAAAAGUUUGAGCUAAAAAUUCAUCCGAAUACUCAAGUUAU